UACGUAGGUGGCAAGCGAUACUCGGAAUCACUAGGCGUAAAGCGCAGGUAGGCGGUUUAGUAAGUCUUUUGUGAAAGCUCCUGGCUCAACUGGGAGAGGUCAAAGGAAACUACUAGGCUAGAGUUUGGUAGGGGAUACUGGAAUUCCUGGUGUAGCGGUGAAAUGCGCAGAUAUCAGGAAGAACACCCGUGGCGAAGGCGGCUCUCUGGGACGGUACUGACGCUGAGACGCGAAAGCGUGGGGAGCGAACAGG
rnacentral:rRNA from 1 species